rnacentral:rRNA from 1 species
AUUGAACGCUGGCGGCAGGCCUAACACAUGCAAGUCGAGCGAGCGGCGGACGGGUGAGUAAUGUAUGGGGACUGCCCGAUAGAGGGGGAUAACUACUGGAAACGGUGGCUAAUACCGCAUACUAUCGGAUAACCCAUAUGGGAUUAGCUAGUAGGUGGGGUAAAGGCUCACCUAGGCGACGAUCUCUAGCUGGUCUGAGAGGGUGAUCGGCCACACUGGGACUGAGACACGGCCCAGACUCCUACGGAGGCAGCAGUGGGGAAUAUUGGACAAUGGACGAAAGCCUGACGGAGCAAUGCCGCGUGUAUGAAGAAGGUUUUAGGAUUGUAAAACACUGUCGGCAGGGAAGCGGUAUCUAAAGAAAAAGCAACGGCUAACUACGUGCCAGCAGCCGCGGUAAUAC